rnacentral:rRNA from 1 species
AUUGAACGCUGGCGGAAUGCUUUACACAUGCAAGUCGAACGGCAGCACGGACUUCGGUCUGGUGGCGAGUGGCGAACGGGUGAGUAAUGUAUCGGAACGUGCCCAGUCGUGGGGGAUAACGUAGUGAAAAUUACGCUAAUACCGCAUACGAUCUAUGGAUGAAAGCGGGGGAUCGCAAGACCUCGCGCGAUUGGAGCGGCCGAUAUCAGAUUAGGUAGUUGGUGGGGUAAAGGCCCACCAAGCCAACGAUCGGUAGCUGGUCUGAGAGGACGACCAGCCACACUGGAACUGAGACACGGUCCAGACUCCUACGGGAGGCUGCAGUGGGGAAUUUUGGACAAUGGGCGAAAGCCUGAUCCAGCCAUUCCGCGUGCAGGAUGAAGGCCCUCGGGUUGUAAACUGCUUUUGUACAGAACGAAAAGGUUUCUACUAAUACUAGGAGCUCAUGACGGUACUGUAAGAAUAAGCACCGGCUAACUACGUGCCAGCCGCCGCAGUAA